rnacentral:sRNA from 1 species
UUUGAUUGCUUUCCGGCCCUGGGUGGUCGUUGCCGACCUCCCUGGACAGUCCGAAGGCCUCACUGAGCCAUUCAAUCGGUAGUAGCGAUUUCGGUGUGUACAAAGGGAAGGUACGUAAAACUUUCAACAACGGAUCUCUUGGUUCUGGCAUCGAUGAAGAACGCAGCGAAAUGCGAUAAGUAAUGUGAAUUGCAGAAUUCAGUGAAUCAUCGAAUCUUUGAACGCACAUUGCGCCCUUUGGUAUUCCGAAGGGCAUGCCUGUUCGAGCGUCAUUUCACCACUCAAGCCUAGCUUGGUAUUGGGCGUCGCGGUUUUCCGCGCGCCUUAAAGUCUUCCGGCUGAGCUGUCCGUCUCUAAGCGUUGUGGAUUUUUCAAUUCGCUUCGGAGUGCGGAUGGCCGCGGCCGUUAAAUCUUUAUUCAAAGGUUGACCUCGGAUCA